GACGAACGCUGGCGGCGUGCCUAAUACAUGCAAGUCGAACGCAGUGGGGACGGGUGAGUAACACGUGGGUAACCUCCCAUCAGAGGGGAUAACACUUGGAAACAGGUGCUAAACCGAUACUGAUGGAUGGACCCGCGGUGCAUUAGCUAGUUGGUUAGGUAACGGCUCACCAAGGCCCCGAUGCAUAGCCGACCUUCAGAGGGGACCUGGCAAACUGGGACUGAGAAACGGCGCAGAAUCCUACUGGAGGCAGCAGUAGGGAAUCUUCGGCAAUGGGGGGAAACCUGACCGAGCAACGCCGCGUUAGUGAAGGAGGUUUUCGGAUCGUAAAGCUCUGUUGUUAAGGAAGCGGUACUUAACCAGAAAGGGACGGCUAACUACGUGCCAGCAGCCGCGGUAAUUG
rnacentral:rRNA from 1 species